rnacentral:lncRNA from 1 species
GAUAUUUUCAGUCCUAUAAUCGUUAAUUGCAGUCUUUAAAAAAAAAAAUUCACCCUAUUGUUCUACUUGUUGUCUGUUCACAGUAAGUUCAUUUCAAGGUUUGUGCCAGUGGGUAUUAUUGGUGCUUUUUGAAGUCAAGGUGGAUUGUCCAGGAAGGUCUUGUUAAUGUUAUGUUCAUCUAUAAUGGCAUAAAGUUUACAUGGGCCUCUUGAUGGAAGAAAGCUAAUCUGUUUAGUAUUUGUGCAUUUUACUAAAAUGGCAGCUUAAAGUUGUGUAUCUGCUAUUGUGAUGCCAAUGCCGGUGUUUUAAGUGGAAAAAAAAUGACCUUGCUUUGUGCUGUGUACA